AACCUUUCCCUACCCCUGAGUGUGAAAGGGGUUAGAGGCAGCCAGACUAGGGAUCGCACAGAGCUGGUGAGUAAAGUGCCUGUUGGUUGGGUAUAUGUUUGUCUCUGUGGUUCUGGAGCUGGUGAGGAAACGCUAGCUGUGUGUGCUCAAUCAGCUAGAGGGGGCUUCUGUCACACCACAAACGAUUUUCAGCUGGGCCAGGCUCUAGACUCACCCCCUUUUGUGAGAAGGGACUCUUCAGAAUGGGCGACCCUCACAGUCUGAGAUGCAGCUGCUUAGAGCCUGCCCUGCGGAAGAGACAAUGGUUUCUCGAAACCACCCUGUGUACAAAGGCCAGAGGCUCGCUCUUCCCUCUCUGAGCCAUUGUCUCCAGAGAAGGGCCAGGAUCUCUGAGCAAAGGAGGCUCACAGGGACACAGCGGUGGGAGAUGGGGACAGUAUGCUUGUAAAAGGUACACAGUGGGUAAGCUGUGGAGAGGAGCAGGUGGACACACUGAAGGCAGAAUUGGGGAUGAGCUGGUCACUCAUUAAAAGGCUAAGUUGUCAUUUGGGAGUAAAACUGAAAUUAAAAAAAAAAAAAAAAAA
rnacentral:lncRNA from 1 species